GUUGGGAUGCGCAGGGGUUUCAUGCAUAUAUUUCAAAAAUUUUACAGUGAAAGAAUAAUAGAUUAAACUAUUUAAUCUAUAAAUAUAUAUAUAAUAUUAGAUCUUAAAACUUUUACAAAUAGAUCUAUGACAUAAAUUUAUAUGCAUAAAACUCUAAAUUUAAAAUAACAAGUAUAUGAAUCAAAAAUCAGCAUUUAGUAAUAGAUCUAAUCUACUACUAUCAGGGUCCCGAACCCAAUACCUGAGCUGGGUAGCCAAACUCCAUAAUCAAGAAUGUGAAUCUGAAAGUCUUCUCUAGUUGUUCAU
rnacentral:lncRNA from 1 species